rnacentral:rRNA from 1 species
CAGCCGCCGCGGGAAUACGGAGGGGGCUAGCGUUGUUCGGAAUUACUGGGCGUAAAGCGCACGUAGGCGGCUUGGUAAGUUAGAGGUGAAAGCCUGGAGCUCAACUCCAGAAUUGCCUUUAAGACUGCCGAGCUAGCAGGUGAGAGAGGUAAGUGGAAUUCCGAGUGUAGAGGUGAAAUUCGUAGAUAUUCGGAAGAACACCAGUGGCGAAGGCGGCUUACUGGCUCAUACUGGACGCUGAGGUGCGAAAGCGAGGGGAGCAAACAGGAUUAGAUACCCGAGUAGUCCCUGUCUCUUAUAC